GUGAGGAAUAUUGGUCAAUGGACGGAAGUCUGAACCAGCCAUGCCGCGUGAAGGAUGAAGGCGUUCUGCGUUGUAAACUUCUUUUAUCAGAGAAGAAACCACUGAUUUCUAUUAGUGUUGACGGUAUCUGAUGAAUAAGCACCGGCUAACUCCGUGCCAGCAGCCGCGGUAAUACGGAGGGUGCAAGCGUUAUCCGGAUUUACUGGGUUUAAAGGGUGUGUAGGCGGGCUAUUAAGUCAGGGGUGAAAUCCCGGGGCUCAACCUCGGAACUGCCUUUGAUACUAUUAGUCUUGAAUUAUGUUGAGGUUGGCGGAAUAUAACAUGUAGCGGUGAAAUGCAUAGAUAUGUUAUAGAACACCGAUUGCGAAGGCAGCUGGCUAAACAUAUAUUGACGCUGAAGCACGAAAGCGUGGGUAGCGAACAGGAUUAGAUACCCCAGUAGUCC
rnacentral:rRNA from 1 species